rnacentral:rRNA from 1 species
CCUACGGGAGGCUGCAGUGGGGGAUAUUGCACAAUGGGGGAAACCCUGAUGCAGCGACGCCGCGUGAAGGAAGAAGUAUUUCGGUAUGUAAACUUCUAUCAGCAGGGAAGAAAAUGACGGUACCUGACUAAGAAGCACCGGCUAACUACGUGCCAGCAGCCGCGGUAAUACGUAGGGGGCAAGCGUUAUCCGGAUGUACUGGGUGUACAGGGGUAGUAGGCGGCGAUGCAAGUCAGAAGUGAAAGCCCGGGGCGCAACUCCGGGACUGCUUUUGAAACUGUGUUGCUAGAUUGCAGGAGAGGUAAGUGGAAUUCCUAGUGUAGCGGUGAAAUGCGUAGAUAUUAGGAGGAACACCAGUGGCGAAGGCGGCUUACUGGACUGUAAAUGACGCUGAGGCUCGAAAGCGUGGGGAGCAAACAGGAUUAGAUACCCCAGUAGUC